rnacentral:piRNA from 1 species
AUGUAGAGAAGAGUUGAGACUGGAGA